rfam:Aspergillus ustus strain 3.3904 ATSC_177, whole genome shotgun sequence.
GGGGCUGUGGCGCAAUUGGUAGCGCGUGCGACUCCAGAUCGCAAGGUUGCCCGAUCGAGACGGACCAGCCUCA